rnacentral:rRNA from 1 species
CGGAGGGUGCAAGCGUUAAUCGGAAUUACUGGGCGUAAAGCGCACGCAGGCGGUCUGUCAAGUCGGAUGUGAAAUCCCCGGGCUCAACCUGGGAACUGCAUUCGAAACUGGCAGGCUUGAGUCUUGUAGAGGGGGGUAGAAUUCCAGGUGUAGCGGUGAAAUGCGUAGAGAUCUGGAGGAAUACCGGUGGCGAAGGCGGCCCCCUGGACAAAGACUGACGCUCAGGUGCGAAAGCGUGGGGAGCAAACAGGAUUAGAUACCCUGGUAGUCCACGCCGUAAACGAUGUCUACUUGGAGGUUGUGCCCUUGAGGCGUGGCUUCCGGAGCUAACGCGUUAAGUAGACCGCCUGGGGAGUACGGCCGCAAGGUUAAAACUCAAAUGAAUUGACGGGGGCCCGCACAAGCGGUGGAGCAUGUGGUUUAAUUCGAUGCAACGCGAAGAACCUUACCUGGUCUUGACAUCCACGGAAGUUUUCAGAGAUGAGAAUGUGCCUUCGGGAACCGUGAGACAGGUGCUGCAUGG